UACGAACCGUCCAAACGUUAUUCGGAAUCACUGGGCUUAAAGGGUGCGUAGGCGGCGCGGAAAGUUGGGUGUGAAAUCCCUCGGCUUAACCGAGGAACGGCGCCCAAAACUACCGUGCUUGAGGGAGAUAGAGGUGAGCGGAACUUAGGGUGGAGCGGUGAAAUGCGUUGAUAUCCUAAGGAACACCGGUGGCGAAAGCGGCUCACUGGAUCUCUUCUGACGCUGAUGCGCGAAAGCGUGGGGAGCAAACGGG
rnacentral:rRNA from 1 species